rnacentral:lncRNA from 1 species
AAAGAGUGUAAAAAUCACUUUGACAUCUGUGGGGUUGAAAUGGCAACACCAACUUAAGAUCUCCCUGAAAGGCUUUUUAUCUGUCCACAAGGUGAUGCAGAAAGAAGAAAGAAAGGUUAUCCAGAGGUUUUGAGAAGAUAUUGUCUGAUGUGUCUGCAGAGUGGGACCCUGUUUGAGAGCUUUUGUCUGUGUGAAAGGCGCCUGCCCACUACAAGGCCCUAGUGGGGAUAGAUCCAUGCAGCACCUGCCUGCCAGGGAAGGCUUGAUACAUCAAGAAAACUUCAGAGGAGUUAUUAUUGCCUCGCACCAAUGGUCUCACAAGAAGUCACAUUCUCUUCUUACUGUCCUUGCUGGAGCAUGGGAAAGAGCCGUUCAGUGGCCUUUUCCUGAUUAAAGUAUCUUUUUGAGCAUGGGUGGCCAAACCUGAACAAGCCAGUUCCAUCACAGUGGUGAUUCCAGCACAAGGUGAGAGGCUCCCACUUUAGUUUGGGAAGAAUUUUCACAGGAUGAAUUCUCAGCAAAUUCUGAGCAGGUGCCUUUCCAAAGUGUCUAGUUAUGCAAAGCUCAGUCACCCAAGGGGAAACUUGUCCUAAGUAAAUAACCUCUAUGGAUCAAUGCAAAAAUGCACACUGAAGUGACAAAAGGCUUGCUUUGUACACAGGAGAUAACCCCUGCACUGCUCAGGGUAGCAGUACCUGGUGUCUGGUACUCCUGGGUGCCACGGUGUCCAUGUGUGCACACAGAGCACUGACUGAAACUGGGGGAAUUCCUGCUGCAGUGUUUCCAGAGUCUUGGGGAAGACAACUUCUCAACAAGGUAAACUGGUAUUUUAGCAGAUCUUUGCUGCACCAAGUAUUCCACCAGUGGAGAGUUCUGGAGAAGUGAUUAAGAGAAAAUGCAAGUGACCUCCAGAGCAAGGUACUCCUGUUGAAAAGUUAAGAUGUGAUUUUAAGAGGUACUGGAUAACUUCUAGAAGUUGUUUCUUAAAGCAUCUGCAUGUCAGCACCCUAGAUAUUUUAAACUGAGCAUGCAGAACCCCAGCAUGGAUGGGCACUCUUCAUGAGGGGGCCUACAUGACUCCCUUUAGUCACUUGGCAACACAAUAAUAGAA